GGGGACGUAGUCUAACUUGGCUAGGACGCCGGCCUUGGGCGCCGGGAAUCUGGGUUCAAAUCCCAGCGUUUCCA
rnacentral:tRNA from 1 species